GAAGGAUCAUUACCGAACUGUCGACACGAGUUGUUGCUGGCCCUCGAAGGGGGGCACGUGCACGCUCUGUUUACACAUCCACUCACACCUGUGCACCCUCUGUAGUUCUAUGGCCUGGGGGACACUGUCCCCUUGCUGUGGUCCUACGUUUUUACACACACACCGUAAUAAAGUCUUAUGGAAUGCAUGUCGCGUUUAACGCAAUACAAUACAACUUUCAGCAACGGAUCUCUUGGCUCUCGCAUCGAUGAAGAACGCAGCGAAAUGCGAUAAGUAAUGUGAAUUGCAGAAUUCAGUGAAUCAUCGAAUCUUUGAACGCACCUUGCGCCCUUUGGCUAUUCUGAAGGGCAUGCCUGUUUGAGUAUCAUGAACACCUCAACUCUCGUGGUUUGCCAUGAUGAGCUUGGACUUUGGGGGUCUUGCUGGCCUACGGUCGGCUCCUCUUAAAUGAAUCAGCUUGCCAGUGUUUGGUGGCAUCACAGGUGUGAUAACUAUCUACGCUUGUGGUUUUCUGCCAGGUAACCUUCAGUGAUGGAGGUUCGCUGGGGCUCACAAAUGUCUCUCCUCAGCGAGGACAGCUUUUUAACGUUUGAUCUCAAAUCAGGUAGGACUACCCGCUGAACUUAAGC
rnacentral:rRNA from 1 species